rnacentral:rRNA from 1 species
AACGAACGCUGGCGGCAGGCCUAACACAUGCAAGUCGAACGAGACCUUCGGGUCUAGUGGCGCACGGGUGCGUAACGCGUGGGAAUCUGCCCUUGGGUUCGGCAUAACAGUUAGAAAUGACUGCUAAUACCGGAUGAUGACUUCGUUCCAAAGAUUUAUCGCCUUUAGAGCGGCCCGCGUCUGAUUAGCUAGUUGGUGAGGUAAAACCUAGCCAAGGCGACGAUCAGUAGCUGGUCUGAGAGGAUGAUCAGCCACAUUGGGGAUGAGACACGGCCUAAACUCCUGCGGGGGGCAGCAGUGGGGAAUCUUGCGCGAUGGGCGAAAGCCUGACGCAGCCAUGCCGCGUGGAUGAUGAAGGUCUUAGGAUUGUAAAAUCCUUUCACCGGUGAAGAUAAUGACUGUAGCCGGAGAAGAAGCCCCGGCUAACUUCGUGCCAGCAGCCGCAGUAAAAC